CGGGGUUGCGGACAGUGUCUGGUGGGUAGUUUGACUGGGGCGGUCUCCUCCCAAAGAGUAACGGAGGAGCACGAAGGUUAGCUAAUCCUGGUCGGACAUCAGGAGGUUAGUGCAAUGGCAUAAGCUAGCUUGACUGCGAGCGUGACGGCGCGAGCAGGUGCGAAAGCAGGUCAUAGUGAUCCGGUGGUUCUGAAUGGAAGGGCCAUCGCUCAACGGAUAAAAGGUACUCCGGGGAUAACAGGCUGAUACCGCCCAAGAGUUCAUAUCGACGGCGGUGUUUGGCACCUCGAUGUCGGCUCAUCACAUCCUGGGGCUGAAGUAGGUCCCAAGGGUAUGGCUGUUCGCCAUUUAAAGUGGUACGCGAGCUGGGUUUAGAACGUCGUGAGACAGUUCGGUCCCUAUCUGCCGUGGGCGCUGGAGAAUUGAGGGGGGCUGCUCCUAGUACGAGAGGACCGGAGUGGACGCAUCACUGGUGUUCGGGUUGUCAUGCCAAUGGCACUGCCCGGUAGCUAAAUGCGGAAGAGAUAAGUGCUGAAAGCAUCUAAGCACGAAACUUGCCCCGAGAUGAGUUCUCCCUGAGACUAUAAGUCUCCUGAAGGAACGUUGAAGACGACGACGUUGAUAGGCCGGGUGUGUAAGCGCAGCGAUGCGUUGAGCUAACCGGUACUAAUGAACCGUGAGGCUUAACCUUACAACGCCGAAG
rnacentral:rRNA from 1 species